CACCAGCUCUUCAAGUGAUCGGGACUAUUAUUGGGCUUAAAGUGUCCGUAGCCGGUUUGGUAAGUCCCUGGUUAAAGCUGGCAGCUUAACUGUCAGUUCGCUAGGGAAACUACCUUACUAGAGGGCGGGAAAGGUGUGAGGUACUCCAGGGGUAGCGGUGAAAUGCGAUAAUCCUUGGGGGACCACCAGUGGCGAAGGCGUCAGACUGGAACGCGCCUGACGGUGAGGGACGAAAGCCAGGGGAGCGAACGGGAUUAGAUACCCCGGUAGUCCUGGCUGUAAACGAUGCGCGCUAGGUGUUGGUAGGGCUAUGAGCUAUAUCAGUGCCGUAGAGAAAUCGUUAAGCGUGCCGCCUGGGAAGUACGCUCGCAAGAGUGAAACUUAAAGGAAUUGGCGGGGGAGCACCACAAGGGGUGAAGCCUGCGGUUCAAUUGGACUCAACGCCGGGAAACUUACCGGGGGCGACAGCAGAAUGAAGGUCAGGCUGACGACCUUACCAGACAAGCU
rnacentral:rRNA from 1 species